CAUUUCACCGCGGUGCGCAGUUUGGCAGUGAAGUCCCCCAGCUGCCAUUCCCGUGGAAGCCCCCCCGGCAGUACUUGACUCCUCGUCAUGGCCCCGACCAUCCAGACUCAGGCUCAGCGGGAAGACGGUCACCGAGCCAGCUCCCAUCGGACUGUGCAGGAGAGGUCGGGCGUAGUCUGUCGAGUCAAGUACUGUAACAGCCUCCCGGACAUCCCGUUCGACCCCAAGUUCAUCACGUACCCCUUUGACCAGAGCAGGUUCGUCCAGUACAAGGCGACGUCCCUGGAGAAGCAGCACCGGCACGACCUGCUGACGGAGCCGGACCUGGGCGUCACCAUCGACCUCAUUAACCCGGACACCUACCGCGUGGAGGCGGGCGCGCCGCUGGACCCCGCCGAUGAGAAGCUGCUGGAGGAAGAGAUCCAGGCCCCCACCAGCUCGCGGCGCUCCCAGCAGCACGCCAAGGUGGUGCCCUGGAUGAGGAAGACGGAGUACAUCUCCACCGAGUUCAACCGCUACGGCGUGUCCAACGAGAAGCCCGAGGUCAAGAUCGGGGUGUCGGUGAAGCAGCAGUUCACGGAGGAGGAGAUCUACAAGGACCGCGACAGCCAGAUCUCGGCCAUCGAAAAGACCUUCGAGGACGCGCAGAAGUCCAUCUCCCAGCACUACAGCAAGCCCAGGGUGACCCCCGUGGAGGUGAUGCCCGUCUUCCCGGACUUCAAGAUGUGGAUCAAUCCCUGUGCGCAAGUGAUCUUCGACUCGGAUCCGGCGCCAAAGGACACCAGCGGCUCUGCAGCCCUGGAGAUGAUGUCCCAAGCCAUGAUCAGGGGCAUGAUGGACGAGGAGGGCAACCAGUUCGUGGCCUACUUCCUGCCCGUGGAGGAGACCAUGAGGAAACGGAAGCGCGACCAGGAGGAGAAGAUGGACUACGCCCCCGAUGAUAUCUAUGACUAUAAGAUCGCCAGGGAGUACAACUGGAACGUGAAGAACAAGGCUAGCAAAGGCUACGAAGAAAACUACUUUUUUAUCUUUCGAGAAGGCGACGGCGUCUACUACAACGAGCUGGAAACCAGAGUCCGCCUCAGUAAGCGCAGGGCCAAGGCUGGCGUGCAGUCGGGCACCAACGCUCUCCUGGUGGUCAAACACCGCAACAUGAAUGAGAAGGAGCUGGAAGCUCAGGAAGCUCGGAAAGCACAGCUGGAGAACCAUGAACCCGAAGAGGAGGAGGAAGAGGAAAUGGAGAAAGAGGCCCCUGACUCAGAUGAAGAACAGGAAAAAGGAAGUGGAAGUGAAAAGGAAGGCAGUGAGGAGGAGGAAGAAGAGCUGUCUGGAAGUGAGAGUGAUCAGGAAGAGGAAGAGAAGGAGGAAAGUGAGAAGAGUGGAAGUGGGGAGGACAAAGCCGAGGAGGAGAGCAGCGAGGAUGAGGCCCGAGCAGCCCGAGACAAGGAGGAGAUCUUUGGGAGUGAUGCCGACUCAGAGGAUGAUGAAGAAGAGGAGGAUGGGGGAGGUCCGGCCAAGGACAGUGGAGAGGAUGAAGACGACAGUGGCAGUGAUAGAGAGAAUGGGCAGCACAGCCCCAGUCCCUCCUUUCUCAGUGCUAGUGACCACUCAGCCCAAGAGGAUGGCAGUGAUAUGGGCACUUCUGAUUCCAGUGAGGAAGUCAGUGACAGUGACUGAGGCUCAGAGACCCAUUGCAAACCACCAAAAUGCCCAGGAGGGACUGGGCUUCUCCAGCUCUGACACCAUUCUCAGAACAAAAGGAAAAUAUUAUUUCUCUUCCCUCCCCCCUUAAAUUUUUGUUCUCAAUAAAGGCUAUAUGUUUACAAGUUAAAAAAAAAAAAAACCAAAAUGUAAAUGAGAGUCCCUGCCUUCUGAAAGCUAUUGGAGGAGAUGAUACAAGUGCAUACUGUCAGAGAUAUUAUAUGGCUUAAAUACUAAAUAGUAAAAUGUGUAUAUAAAUAUAUACAAAAUAAAUAUAAGGUAAUAGGGGUUGAAGGAGAGGAAUUGCUAACAGCUGGGAGGAUUAGUCAAAAUUAUGAAAAAAGAUAAAGGAGGCAUAAGACAAAAAGGGAAUUGAGGAUGGAGAGAAAUUCAAAUACAAAAAAAAAUAUGAAGGGGAAUAUGAUAAGGUUGGACAGGCAGAUUAGAAAUUGAUUAUGGAGAGCCUUGGAUACUAGGCUUAAGGAUUUCUAUUUUAUUUCACAGGCAGUGGAACACCACGGGGGGAUUCUGAGUAGAGAUCUUGAUCAUUUAGUGGUUUAAAAAAAAAAAUAAAAAAAAGAAAAGGAAAAAAAAAUACAUUGGAGAGACACUUGAAGAGAAAGCCCAAUGAAGAAAUCAUUGAGAUCUAUUCAGCUAGUACUGAGGUGCUUCCCUAAAAUGGUUGCAUUGUGACGGGAAAAAGAAUUAUAAAUGUAAGAAGUUAUAGAAGAAAUCAGGCUGAGAAAUUUAUAUGCAGAGUAAGGAAGAGGGGAAAAAGAAAAUCAAAAGUAACUCAAGUUUAUGGGCCUAAAUGGCUGGGAUGAUGGAGACAACCUCAACAUAAAUUGGUGGGGGAUGCAAGUUUAGAAGAAUGAGGAAUUUUGUGUUAGGCAUACUGAAGUACCAACCAAUGGACAUCCAAAUAGAGAUAUACAGCAGGCAAUUCAAAAAUCAGGAAUGGAACCCUAGAGAAAGGAAUUAUUCUAAAUUUAAUGCCAAUUAAGAGGAUAUUUUCCCAGUACCUUACCACUCCAUCCAAAAAGAAAACGAAAAUGAAGAAAAAAAAAAAUCUCUUUAAAUUUUUGAUCACAUUGAGAUUUUGCCAAGUGUAAUUCUUGGGAUUAUGCCAUUCUAAAGCUAAAAUGCAAAUUUAAUCCAAUUUACUCUUUGACACUUGGCAUGUCACCUCAACUUAUUCUUUUUUAAAAUGGGUGUGAGGGGCUCUAUGACCCAGGACAAGUCACAGAACCUUUUAAGGACUCAGUUUCCCUAUAAGUAAAAUGAAGCAGUUAGAUGUCAUUAAAUAUAAACUGGCUCCUUUCUCUGUAGAAUAGUGUGGGUAUCAACAAAAAUUCGUCAUCAGUGGUUCCUGAAAGAUUUGUCAGACAGUGGGCUUCUCAACUUUAGUCUCAGCUUCUUUUUAUCUCUGUAGCAAAGAGAAAGAAUGGGGGUUGGACUAUAGAUUUGGAAGUCAUCUACAUAAAGAUAUCAAAAUCACAUAGGAGUAGAUGAGAUUGUUAAGGGAUGGAAUUUAGAAAAGGGGGGGGUGGGGCAAGAAACGACUCUUAAAGGCACAAAGGGUGGGUGAAAGAUGAGAAACCAACAAUGGAAACAGAAGAAUGGUCAGAAAGAUAGGAGAAAUUUGCAAAUGCAAUAUCGUAGAUGCUAAUAGUUUACCAAGGAGAAGUUAGUCAACAGUUACAUAUUCUACAUAAACAUCAAGGAGGAAAUGGGGAUGUUUAAAGAGACCAUGUUAAAGAUAGUUACCAGUGAGCUUGGAGAAAGUUACUGCAAUAAAGUUGUGGUAUUUGUCCUUCAUGCUCAAAGAAGAACAAUGACAUUAUGAAAGUGAUUUCUUGACUUGCUUAAUACAAAAUGAGGUUUUAUAUUAACUGUCUUUACCAUGUUAUCUAAGAGUAGUAGUAGUUGCUCUUUGAGGAUCCAACCUACCAAAUUCAAGCAGAACUUAGGGAAUACUACUAUUUCUCUUCUGCCUUUUUCUCCUCCUUUCUCUUCUCUUAAUAAAAGUAGUCCCCUUCUUGAUGAGAGUAAAACUCUGCUUGAUCUGAGUGAGCCCUGUAAAAUUAUGUAAAAUUAUGUCACCAAUAAAAAAUGUCUCCUUUGAUCUACAAA